GACUGUAUGUUCAACGGCCGCGGUACUUUGACCGUGCGAAGGUAGCGCAAUCACUUGUCUUUUAAAUGAAGACCUGUAUGAAUGGCACGACGAGGGCUUAACUGUCUCCUUUUUCCAGUCAAUGAAAUUGAUCUUCCCGUGCAGAAGCGGGAAUAGUACCAUAAGACGAGAAGACCCUGUGGAGCUUUAGAACACUGAAUCAGCCCUUGUCCAAAAUCCCAGUUAAGGCUAUGAACACUAGAGUGAGAUCUGAUUUAAUGUCUUCGGUUGGGGCGACCUUGGGGAAAGAAAAAUCCCCCAUGCGGAACGGAAAAUACUAUGCUUCCAAAACUAAGAGCAACCACUCGAAGUAUCAAAAAUUUUGACCAAACUAUAUGAUCCGGCUUAGCGCCGAUCAACGGACCAAGUUACCCCAGGGAUAACAGCGCAAUCCUCUUUUAGAGCCCAUAUCGACAAGAGGGUUUACGACCUCGAUGUUGGAUCAGGACAUCCUAAUGGUGCAGCCGCUAUUAAGGGUUCGUUUGUUCAACGAUUAAAGUCCUACGUGA
rnacentral:rRNA from 1 species